rnacentral:rRNA from 1 species
UACGUAGGGGGCAAGCGUUAUCCGGAUUUACUGGGCGUAAAGCGCGUUAAGGCGGCCGGCUAAGUUGGUGGUGAAAUUCCAGGGCUCAACCCUGGAACUGCCUCCAAUACUGGUCGGCUCGAGUGCGAGAGAGGAAGGUGGAAUUCCCGGUGUAGUAGUGAAAUGCGUAGAUAUCGGGAGGAACACCUGUGGCGAAAGCGGCUCACUGGACCACAACUGACGCUGAUGCACGAAAGCUAGGGGAGCAAACAGG